UACACUCCUGCGGGAGGCAGCAGUGGGGAAUUUUGGACAAUGGGCGAAAGCCUGAUCCAGCAAUGCCGCGUGAGUGAAGAAGGCCUUCGGGUUGUAAAGCUCUUUUGUCAGGGAAGAAACGGUGAAAGCUAAUAUCUUUUGCUAAUGACGGUACCUGAAGAAUAAGCACCGGCUAACUACGUGCCAGCAGCCGCGGUAAUACGUAGGGUGCAAGCGUUAAUCGGAAUUACUGGGCGUAAAGCGUGCGCAGGCGGUUUUGUAAGUCUGAUGUGAAAUCCCCGGGCUCAACCUGGGAAUUGCAUUGGAGACUGCAAGGCUAGAAUCUGGCAGAGGGGGGUAGAAUUCCACGUGUAGCAGUGAAAUGCGUAGAUAUGUGGAGGAACACCGAAGGCGAAGGCAGCCCCCUGGGUCAAGAUUGACGCUCAUGCACGAAAGCGUGGGGAGCGAACAGGAUUAGAAACCCUAGUAGUCCCA
rnacentral:rRNA from 1 species